rnacentral:rRNA from 1 species
CCUACGGGAGGCAGCAGUGGGGGAUAUUGCACAAUGGGGGAAACCCUGAUGCAGCGACGCCGCGUGGGUGAAGAAGCGCCUCGGCGCGUAAAGCCCUGUCAGCAGGGAAGAAAAUGACGGUACCUGAAGAAGAAGCCCCGGCUAACUACGUGCCAGAAGCCGCGGUAAUACGUAGGGGGCAAGCGUUAUCCGGAUGUACUGGGUGUAAAGGGGGCGCAGACGGCGGUGGAAGCCAGGAGUGAAAGCCCGGGGCCCAACCCCGGGACUGCUCUUGGAACUGCGUGGCUAGAGUGCAGGAGGGGCAGGCGGAAUUCCGGGUGUAGCGGUGAAAUGCGUAGAUAUCAGGAGGAACACCGGUGGCGAAGGCGGCCUGCUGGACUGCAACUGACGUUGAGGCCCGAAAGCGUGGGGAGCAAACAGGAUUAGAUACCCGAGUAGU